rnacentral:rRNA from 1 species
UACAGAGGUCUCAAGCGUUGUUCGGAUUCAUUGGGCGUAAAGGGUGUGUAGGUGGCGCCGUAAGUCGGGUGUGAAAUCUCGGGGCUUAACUCCGAAACUGCAUUCGAUACUGCGGUGCUUGAGGACUGGAGAGGAGACUGGAAUUUACGGUGUAGCAGUGAAAUGCGUAGAGAUCAUGAGGAAGACCAGUGGCGAAGGCGGGUCUCUGGACAGUUCCUGACACUGAGGCACGAAGGCCAGGGGAGCAAACGGG